GACGAACGCUGGCGGCGUGCUUAACACAUGCAAGUCGAACGGAAAGGCCCUGCUCUUGUGGGGUGCUCGAGUGGCGAACGGGUGAGUAACACGUGAGUAACCUGCCCUUGACUUUGGGAUAACUUCAGGAAACUGGGGCUAAUACCGGAUAGGAGCUCCUGCUGCAUGGUGGGGGUUGGAAAGUUUCGGCGGUUGGGGAUGGACUCGCGGCUUAUCAGCUUGUUGGUGGGGUAGUGGCUUACCAAGGCUUUGACGGGUAGCCGGCCUGAGAGGGUGACCGGCCACAUUGGUACUGAGAUACGGCCCAGACUCCUACGGGAGGCAGCAGUGGGGAAUAUUGCACAAUGGGCGGAAGCCUGAUGCAGCAACGCCGCGUGCGGGAUGACGGCCUUCGGGUGGUAAACCUCUUUCGCCUGUGACGAAGCGUGAGUGACGGUAAUGGGUAAAGAAGCACCGGCUAACUACGUG
rnacentral:rRNA from 1 species